rnacentral:rRNA from 1 species
GCAGUCGAGCGAGCGGAACAGCAGAAUCACUUCGGUGAGGACGCUGGGAAAGCGAGCGGCGGAUGGGUGAGUAACACGUGGGGAACCUGCCCUUAAGUCUGGGAUACCACUUGGAAACAGGUGCUAAUACCGGAUAAGAAAGCAGUUCGCAUGAACAGCUUUUAAAAGGCGGCGCAAGCUGUCGCUAAAGGAUGGACCCGCGGUGCAUUAGCUAGUUGGUAAGGUAACGGCCUACCAAGGCAGUGAUGCAUAGCCGAGUUGAGAGACUGAUCGGCCACAUUGGGACUGAGACACGGCCCAAACUCCUACGGGAGGCAGCAGUAGGGAAUCUUCCACAAUGGACGCAAGUCUGAUGGAGCAACGCCGCGUGAGUGAAGAAGGUUUUCGGACCGUAAAGCUCUGUUGUUGGUGAAGAAGGAUAGAGGUAGUAACUGGCCUUUAUUUGACGGUAAUCAACCAGAAAGUCACGGCUAACUACGUGCCAGCAGCCGCGGUAAUACGUAGGUGGCAAGCGUUGUCCGGAUUUAUUGGGCGUAAAGCGAGCGCAGGCGGAAGAAUAAGUCUGAUGUGAAAGCCCUCGGCUUAACCGAGGAAUUGCAUCGGAAACUGUUUUUCUUGAGUGCAGAAGAGGAGAGUAGAACUCCAUGUGUAGCGGUGGAAUGC